CCUGCACAACGGUGGAGCAUGUGGUUUAAUUCGAAGCAACGCGCAGAACCUUCCAGCGUUUGACAUCCUCAUCGCGAUUUCCAGAGAUGGAUUUCUUCUUUCGGCUGGAUGAGUGACAGGUGCUGCAUGGCUGUCGUCAGCUCGUGUCGUGAGAUGUUGGGUUAAGUCCCGCAACGAGCGCAACCCUCGCCCUUAGUUGCCAUCAUUUAGUUGGGCACUCUAAGGAAACUGCCGGUGAUAAGCCCGCGGAAGGUGGGGAUGACGUCAAGUCCUCAUGGCCCUUACACGCUGGGCUACACACGUGCUACAAUGGCGGUGACAGUGAGCGGCUAACCCGCGAGGGUAUG
rnacentral:rRNA from 1 species